rnacentral:lncRNA from 1 species
UGUGGGUCGCAAGUUCUCUCUUUCCACGGUUUGAAAUUGAAAAAUAUCUUCCGGUCGGUCUGGGCUGUCUUCAUCAGGUCCGGGCUGCAGCGGCGGCUGUUCUGAGCCGUUAUCUCGAUUCCAUCUGAUCAUUCAUCAUUUUCGUCAUCUUAUUCUUCAUUGUCCACAUCAGUCAUCAAAGGAAAAAGUGUUUCGAGAAUUGGAAUGACGAGUUCAUUGUCAAUUAUUGACUGAAAAUUAAAAUUCAGUUAUUACUGAGUAGCAAUAAGUAGCAAUAAGGUGCAAUAAGUCUACCUGCUUCCCGAGUCGUUACGUUGAAAAAUUUUGAUCGACAAAAAGGAGGACAAAAAAUUGUCUGAAACUUUUGCAAAACAGCAUUAGACAAGUGUGUUGACUUUAAACUCUUUAGAAAGACAAUAACAUGAAACUAACUGAAUUAUUUAUACAAAAAAGAACAUGGAACUCACUUUGAACUCUUGGGAAAACGCAGCAAGAAAGUGAUGGUCACCGUAGGUUCCGUUUUUUUCAAGUUCUUUAACUGUUUUCAAGUGAAAAAAAUAUUAAGAUUUUGCAAAUUUUGAUUUAAAAAAACACCAAAUACCGUAUUGGGUAAAGGUUGGAGUUCAACUCCAAUUGUUCCACGACGGAUUGUCUUAUGAAAAAAUGGUAGUACCUAACACCGUAAAGCUGGAGUGCCAGAGCGUAGAACAAACAAUUUCUAAAAGGAAAAACAACUUGUUAGUAUAUUAGAAAAAACCAAUCGUUAUUUUUAAUGGAGAUUUACCCAUCAGCCGGAACUUGUAUCAACUCCAAAUUAAUGGCUUGCAAAGACGUCGACAACUGCUAUUCGAAUUGUAGAAACUUUAUGCGGUGAUCUUCGGGACUGGACGAGGGGGAAAACUACCCGGAGACGGAAAAAUGGUCGUUGUCCAAUCCACAGACCACAGCCGGAUCGUCGGGAACGUAGACGAUAGGAGAGGUGGAUUCACUGGACCCUAGUAGAGUGGUGUCGUCCGGCUCUUCCACAGAGAUUACGCCAAGAAUGGAUUUUCCACAGCUUCGGCGACGACUUUGACUUCGACUACUACUGACUCAUCAAAUUCCGAAACAAAUUCAGUUGCACUCUCCGAGAGUUGGAGUUGACUCUCGUGUCCUCGAACUGUGUUAUCGCAUAGGGGCGGAGAACUAGUUUUGCAAUUUUCAACUCGAUUUGUGGAAGCGGCCUUCGGUAACUUUCAGUAACCCGCCCAGCAAUCGGGGAGGGUAUAGAAGAAUUUUUCGGCUCUUUGUUGCUCUCGAAUCGAGCAAACAUUUCCCUCUGUGGUUUCUGAAGAUUACGGGUUUCACGAAUGUUGGUAUAUUCGAGGUAUUAUGAGUCUAUAGCUCUGGUAUUUCCAAAAAUCAAAAUUUUUAGAAAAUUAAAAAAAUAAAUUAGGGAAGAGCAGCCGGAAUUAUUCCAGCUGCGAAUAGUUGUUUUGCAAAUUCAAAAAAGGCUAGAUUAAGUGCCUCUUGUUUUUUUGACGACUUCUGCUCUGCGUAAACUAUAUCUAAAAAAACUGAAAAAAUUCGAAAAAAAAGGUUUUACAUUUUUAAAAUGAUUUUACUUUUGCCAUUGCGGACAUAUCGCAGGUAGCAUAUGUAUCGCCCCGGUGCUCCAGUUGCAGUUUUUAAAAAAAUUCCGACGCCAAGGGCGUGUUCGACUUUAGUACGGGCGUUAUGGACAGUAAAGUUGCCCCAUGACGCAGCAUCUAGGCUGUCGAUGUAGGCCUGGAAAUUGUCACCUCUUUGACCAUCUAGGGUCAUUACACCCAUAGCAAUCAGGUGGUUGAGAAAGAUGGUCGCAUAUUCUCUUUUAUUUAGUAAUUUAAAAAAAACGAUGUCUUGAAGACUGGAACCCCUAAGAAAGAUAUUUCCUAGAGUAGCCUUUGGGAUGACGUGGUGGAAUAGUGUCUAUAGCAGGGUGGGUACCAAUUGCCUCAAAUAGAUUCACCUGAUUGGAUCCGCAAUACUCCAAAAAUCGCUCCCCGUCUUCUUUCUUCUCGAACUCCACGAAGAUAGUUGCGGUUCCCCUUCUCUUUCGACGAUUCGGCCUCGCGAUGAUGAAGUCCCUAAGAUUUCUAAAAUAAAAAAAAAAAUAAUAAAUAACGCUUGGUUUAACCCCAUCUGGAAUUUUCUCCAGGAGGUAUUUCUUUUGUCUCUCCUCCAACGUCAAGCGAACAUUCUUCGUGGUGGAGGUCAGUGGAAGUCAGAG